rnacentral:misc_RNA from 1 species
CGUUGCCAACAGGUUGGUCUUGUUGGCCUAUCUACAAAUCAAUUUAGAUGGAGCACAAAAUUGUUUACAUUCUCAUUUUUUUCUCCCUGUAUUAUAUUAGACACUCUUCACAAAUGAAUUGCAUUUCUGCUGAUCCUUGUUUUCAUGGUUAAGCUAACAUGACUAGCAACUUGGGAUAUGAAUUCAUUACUGUGGCUUCAUGCAAAAUAAGUCUAAACUGUAUUAUUGAUAUCAGACAGAUUCACAGAUUUAUUAGGGGAUAGCAAUUGUUGUAAGAAGUACAUUGCAAAAAAAAAAAACUAUGUAAUA